AACGAACGCUGGCGGCAUGCCUAACACAUGCAAGUCGAACGAGACCUUCGGGUCUAUUUGCGCACGUGUGCUUAACACGUGGUAACCUGCCCUUAGGUUCGGAAUAACUCCCCGAAGGGUGUGCUAAUGCCGGUUAAUGUCUUCGCGCCAAAGAUUUAUCGCCUUUGGAUGGGCCCUCGUUGGAUUAGCUGGUUGGUAGGGUAAAAGCAUACCAAGGAGACGUUCCAUAGCUGGUCGGUGAGGAGGAUCAGCCACACUGGGAAUGAGACACGGACCAGUCUGCGACGGGAGGGAGCAGUGGGGAACAUUAGAGAAGGGGGGAAAGUGUGAUCAAGCAAUGCCGCGGGAGAGAGGAAGGGGUUAGGGUUGUAAAGCUGUCUGAGCCGGGAUGAGAAUGACAGUACUGGGAGAAUAAGCACCGGCUAACUACGUG
rnacentral:rRNA from 1 species